rnacentral:lncRNA from 1 species
UGCAGAGAUCGUCGAGUAGUUCUUGAGGAGGAAGGGCGUUUUUCGAAGAAGCGCUCGAGGAUCGAUGAAGCCCACUCGACAUUGUCAAUCAUCAAGAAUUCAAACCCUAAUUUCAAAUUUCAAUUGUACACAAAAUCAAAAGUCUGUAUAUAAAGACGGUGAAAGGGGUGGGUCUGCGUAGUCUGAUUCAGUCAAAUAUGGAAAAGUAUAAAAAGGAGGGGGUAAAUAUGCAAAGAGACUCGAGGGAAGAAACGUCAAGGACCAAAUUGAAAUACUUCUUACUUUCUGAUUAUUUGUUACAUUGAAUACAAUUUAGAGAAAUUAUUGAUUCUUCAAUGCUGAUAUUCCAUGAAUCUUUGGUUGCAUUUUCAUAGUUGGAAUUGUGCUUAGAAUUAAUAAGCCAUUCAAGAUUUUUUUAUUUUUUUUGUUUAUUUUAUGGGAGAAUGUAUGAUUGAAGAUGAGUUUUGAAAUGGUGGGGAUUAAACAUAGACUUAAU